UUUUCUUUGUUACGUCCUUUUGUAAUCUAUAUUAUUUACUAAUCUCUAUAGAGAAAGAAUGCUGGAUUGUUGAUAAGAAGCAAUCUGAACGGCGUAACUUACCAAACUGUCUUCUUCAUCCUGCGAUUAAGAUAAGGUAUUACAUUUGCAUGAAUCCUUUGCACUUAUGCUUAUAAAACCUCGUCAAAUUAAAGGACAAAUAGCGCCAAAUAGAGAAGCGACAGCACAAGGACAGAGCUAUAUGAUUAUGUCGGAAUACGUACCCGCUACCUAUUAGCUUUAGAAUAUUUUGCGGAAGAACAAUACCCCUCGGACAUGUAGGUUUCUACAUGCUUUGUAGCAGUAGGCAGCCAGGAGCUUUUUGAAUAAACAAACUACAUUCAUUAGUUUUAUGUGUUUAAAAUUUUCAUAGAUUUAUUGUAGUUUUCUAGCCCACUGAACAGUUUUUUUGCUGGUAAUAGGUUAAAAUAUAAGUAAAAUGUGUUAUCAAUGGUUUAUGUUUGGCGACUUAAGCGAAAAUUUAUUUUAAAACUGGACUUAUAACACUAUCUUCAAAAGAAUUAUGGAGAGUAUUCUGUUUGUUCACGCAGUAAUCUUUCUUCAGACAAAGAGUAUCUAGCAUCAUGGGUUAUAGCAUCUACUGGACCUUUCUCAACCUGAUGUUUGAUUGCACUGAACAAAAGAAAAAGGGAACCACCGGCCUGAUCCUGAAAUUUAAGCUUGUGAGCUUUUAUGCCUCAGAGCAGCAAGUAUGCCAAGAAUAAGAAGCAUAAGUAUGGCACCCCCAGCUGCGAUCCCUCCUAUAGCUUCUGGUGGGAACUCUGACGUUUUAGCAACUUCGUAUCGCAGCAAUUAAAGGUUAUGUGAGGAGACUGCAAAACUUGACCUUCAUCUGAUAUAUAUUUAGGACUCUAAGUAAUGAUAUGUAUCUCGGGCUUGAAUUAAAAUUCUUCUAUAUCAGACCUCCAAAAGCAAGCCGGAGCUGAUCUCUAGAAGACAAUGAACAAUUAGUUAACUUUUUUACUAAACUUAAUAACGAAAUGUAAAUAUUUUGCACACCUUUGUUCUGAACAUAAACUGGUUAUGAAA